AUCUCCUUUCAGCCUGACAAUCCCUUUGACCAAGGCUGCUUCACAAAUUGCUACAUCAUGAUGUGUAUGCCACUGGGACCCAAGUACAUGACCCAAGCUGUCAGUCUGCAAAUAGAGCUGGGGACUGAAUGGGAGCCAACAGAGGUAUACAUUCCAGCACAACAUCCUACACACCUCCCUGUGUCCAAGUCUCCAACUCUAGUCCCCCCAAGUAGUGGCCAGUCUGCACCUUUACAGGAGGUGUGAGGAGUAGUGAGUGUGCAUUGAAACAGGGGUGUCUGUGGACUGCACAGCUAUUGGGAGAAACCCUUCAGG
rnacentral:lncRNA from 1 species